rnacentral:rRNA from 1 species
AUUGAACGCUGGCGGAAUGCUUUACACAUGCAAGUCGAACGGUAGAGGGGGCAACCCCUCGAGAGUGGCGAACGGGUGAGUAAUAUAUCGGAACGUGCCCAGUCGUGGGGGAUAACGUAGCGAAAGUUACGCUAAUACCGCAUACGAUCUAAGGAUGAAAGCGGGGGACUCGCAAGAGCCUCGCGCGAUUGGAGCGGCCGAUAUCAGAUUAGGUAGUUGGUGGGGUAAAGGCUCACCAAGCCAACGAUCUGUAGCUGGUCUGAGAGGACGACCAGCCACACUGGAACUGAGACACGGCCCAGACUCCUACGGGAGGCAGCAGUGGGGAAUAUUGCACAAUGGGCGAAAGCCUGAUGCAGCAACGCCGCGUGAGGGAUGAAGGCCUUCGGGUUGUAAACCUCUUUUAGCAGGGAAGAAGCGAAAGUGACGGUACCUGCAGAAAAAGCACCGGCUAACUACGUG